rnacentral:rRNA from 1 species
GACGGAGGAUGCAAGCGUUAUCCGGAAUUAUUGGGCGUAAAGCGUCCGCAGGUGGCUGUUCAAGUCUGCUGUCAAAGCGCAGAGCUUAACUCUGUACAGGCGGUGGAAACUGAAGAGCUAGAGUAUGGUAGGGGUAGAGGGAAUUCCCGGUGUAGCGGUGAAAUGCGUAGAUAUCGGGAAGAACACCAGUGGCGAAAGCGCUCUACUGGGCCAUAACUGACACUGAGGCACGAAGGCCAGGGGAGCAAACGGG